rnacentral:rRNA from 1 species
AUGGCAGAUCAGUGCAAGCUUUCAGCUGCUGCUGUAGCUGAGUCUGAAGGGAGGUCGUACGUGUUGAAGCUAUAUGGAUACUCAAGUGCGAAGAGGCUACUCAAGUGCGGCGAGUGUGUCACUUCUCCACCUUUCGGUGCCGGAGGGCACAACUGGGUUGUAAGGUUUUACCCAAAAGGUGACUUGGCAGAAGAUGGUGAUUACUACAUGGUUGUUCACCUGGUUCUUGAUUCAGAUAGUAUGAAUGUGAAGGUGAAAAUCCGAUCGUUUAUAGUUGUAAACGAUUUGGAGCCAUUCAAUCUUAACAUAUAUGAUCAUAUCUUCCCACUCAAAGGUUCCUCCAUUCUCGGCCUCUUUGAGCGGGCUGCUGUUGAGAUGUAUGUAAUAGAUGACUGUUUCAACGUGGUGUUUGAUAUAACUGUCAUCAAGAAUACUCUUGUUGAAAAAACAAUGGGUCAUCAAUUUGUUGUGGUUCCUCCAAGCAACUUGCACCGGCAUAUCAGCGACCUCCUAGAGAGCAUGGAUGGAGCGGACGUGACCUUUCAUGUCGGUGGUCAGAAGUUCAUGGCUCAUAGUUCUGUGCUCGCUGCUAGGUCCGUGUUCAAGGCGGAGCUCCUUGGCUCCAUGAAGGAGAAAGUCGGCAGUCCGAUUGAAAUCCAUGAGAUGGAAGCUGUUGUGUUCAAGUCCUUGCUCUAUUUCAUAUACACUGAUUCACUGCCUACUCUUGAGAUGACUAGCAACCAAACGGAUAGGUACAACGUCGAGAGGCUGAAACUGAUAUGUGAGCACAAGUUAUGCAACCACAUUGAUGUGAACAUGGUGGCAACCAGUUUGGCCUUAGCUGAGCAGCAUAGCUGUAGUGGACUCAAGGAAGCUUGUCUACAGUUCCUCGCUUCUCCCACCAAUUUGGAGGCGAUGAUGGCAAGUGAUGGCUACCAGCAUCUGAAAACCAGUUGUCCAUCUGUCCUCAAAGAGCUGGUUGCUAGGCUACUGCCGGAUACAAUGAAAGCGGCCAAGGAUAUUAUCAUGACCAUUUAG